CAACUGUUUAGCAAAAACACAGGUCUAUGCGAAACCGAAAGGUGAGGUAUAUGGGCUGACGCCUGCCCGGUGCUGGAAGGUUAAGGGGAGAGGUUAGCGCAAGCGAAGCUUUGAACUUAAGCCCCAGUAAACGGCGGCCGUAACUAUAACGGUCCUAAGGUAGCGAAAUUCCUUGUCGGGUAAGUUCCGACCCGCACGAAAGGCGUAAUGAUUUGGGCGCUGUCUCGACAAUACAUCCGGUGAAAUUGAAGUACCAGUGAAGAUGCUGGUUACCUGCGCCAGGACGGAAAGACCCCAUGGAGCUUUACUCCAGCUUGAUACUGGGAUUCGGUAUUGCAUGUACAGGAUAGGUGGGAGACUAGGAAACGUGAACGCUAGUUUGCGUGGAGUCGCCCUUGGGAUACCACCCUUGCAGUAUUGGGUUUCUAACAUGCAGCCGUUAUCCGGCUGGUGGACAAUGUCAGGUGGGGAGUUUGACUGGGGCGGUCGCCUCCGAAAGAGUAUCGGAGGCGCUCAAAGGUUCCCUCAGAAUGGUCGGAAACCAUUCGCAGAGUGCAAAGGCAUAAGGGAGCUUGACUGCGACACCGACGGGUGGAGCAGGUACGAAAGUAGGACUUAGUGAUCCGGUGGUAUAAAGUGGGAUUGCCAUCGCUCAACGGAUAAAAGCUACCCUGGGGAUAACAGGCUUAUCACUCCCAAGAGUUCACAUCGACGGAGUGGUUUGGCACCUCGAUGUCGGCUCAUCGCAUCCUGGGGCUGUAGUAGGUCCCAAGGGUUGGGCUGUUCGCCCAUUAAAGCGGUACGCGAGCUGGGUUCAGAACGUCGUGAGACAGUUCGGUCCCUAUCCGGCGUGGGCGUAGGAUAUUUGAGAGGAGCUGUCCUUAGUACGAGAGGACCGGGAUGGACUGACCUCUGGUGUACCUGUUGCACUACCAAGUGCAUAGCAGGGUAGCCAAGUCGGGACGGGAUAAACGCUGAAGGCAUCUAAGCGUGAAGCCCCCCUCAAGAUGAGAUAUCCCAUUCGUAAGAAGUAAGACCCCUUGAAGACGACGAGGUUGAUAGGUCAGAGGUGGAAGUGCAGUAAUGCAUGGAGCUGACUGAUACUAAUAGGUCGAGGGCUUAUCCAU
rnacentral:rRNA from 1 species